rnacentral:antisense_RNA from 1 species
UUUGGCGUUGGGUUUCCGCUUCAUGAUGCCGUUACCCACAGCAUGAAGAAGGUGCGUUUUACCCAGGCCAGUGCCGCCAUA